CAUGGUUUCUAUACACAGUGAAUCCUCCCUCCCCUGGCUCCAUUGGACCCGUGUGCCUGGCACUUUUCCUGGGGCAGAUGAAGCCCUCGCAGAUGCCUAACAAAGCUUUUCUCCAGUCUCCCACACCCCCCACUGCCCCACUUCAGGAGCUCUGAGUGGCCGCCACGCACAGCUAGAGAGACAGUCAACUUGCUUUAUUCAGGCUCUGGCGGGGACAGAAUAAAAGCAGCCUCCCCACCCACCCACCUGGCCAGCAAGCCUCCUGCCUGGAAUGGCUUUAAAAAAAUUAAUUUGCAAUGAUUUGCUCCCUUCUGUUCUGUGGGGAUCACCAGCAUUUUAAAUAUGUAUUUAGAUCAGAUUCACAACUCCCAGUUAAACCUCAACUGCCUGCCCCCACCCGGCAGAAAGAACACAGGAUUCAGAAUCAGGUGACUAGAAGUUCAGGCCAAGUUCUGCUAAUGAUGCGCUGUGUGGCCUUGGGCAAAUUACUUAAGCUCUCUGUGCCUCCACUGGCUCCUCUGGAAACUGAGGUUAAGGAUAACCCCUCCCUCACAGAGUGCUGCGAGGAUUAAAUUAGGUAAGUUUAGGGAAGACCUGGGCAGUGCCAGACCUAUGUUUUCUUUUCCCUUGUACUGACUGUCCUGCUAAUUAGCCUGGUGACCCUGGGCAGGCCACUCAGCCACCCCUGGCCUCAAUGUCCUCAUCUGUAAAGGCUGGGGGUGGGGAUUGUGGUAGGAGAUGAGGGCACAAAUACCCCACCCUCAGCCCCUUCCGCACACCCACUUCCUCCUGCCCUCUCCCCACCAGAGACGAUACUGUCCCCCUCAACCACUUCUUUCUUGUUAUCUGAGCACUGGGUUUUAAUUGGCGAUGGCCCCUCCCCAGCUGCCUCUCCUCCCGGCUCCCUGUGAAGUCUCAGGCUUGCAGCCCUGAGGGGCCUGCAGUUCCUGGCUCAUUGUCAGGGGCAAUUAGCUGUGAUGUCACAAGCCUAGGUGGUGACUUCCGUGGGGCAGAUGCUUAGCCAGGCACCAGGAGGCCAGGACCCUGCUCCAUCUGUGACCUGCGGGGCUCCCCCAGGCUCCAGGGGUCCCCAUUACCAGUCGCAGGGAGGCAGGGCUCCUAGGCAAAGCCAUUUCCAUUUCUGCACUUGAUGGCUCCUUGAAGCCCAGCCUGCGUGUAAAUGAGUUCCACCCUGUGCUUUUGUUGGCAACUGUCGGCUCCCUGGAAGCAAGGGGCUUUGUCAGGAAGAACAAAGCUGUGCGGUGUUUUUCUGAUUUGGGGGAAAGCGUGCUCCUGGGGGAGGGCUCAGCGCUUCUCAGUGUCGGUCUCCAGCCCUGGUUCUCAGACUUGCUGGUUUUGUUUUGGGUUCUUAAGUCCUAUGGCUUAAGAGUCACAUAUGUUUGUGUGUGUGUUGGCUGAGGGUUUUUUUUUUUUUUUCCUCCUUUUUGGCUUACAUAGCGUUCCAGAGACUGAACUUCUCAAAUCACUGCUUCAACAGCUUUUAAAAAUCUGGACCUAGUUACUCCUGUCAUCUAUGUGUAAAGAUUUAGAAAAAAAAUCCCAAACCCAAGGGUGGGCAGCCGCGAGGAUGUACAGCUCCUGGCAGUGUGCGCUCACCCGGAGACCUGAGGUCAAAGCCCAAAUGCUGAGCACCUCCUGGGAGGCGGGAGCAUGGUCUGCUCAGUGCCAGACAUCUGGAUAUUGAGAAAACAUCUGGGUAGCUGGGGUUUUCAGGUUUCUGCCUGACAUUUAAUAUCACAAACAUUGAGCCUGCUCCUGUCCCCCACCAGCCACGCGGCUUCUCCUCCCAAACAUACCCAGCUCCUUCCCCUGCCUUCCUGACGGGUAAGAAACAUCCAUUCUUUCCAAUUCCCCAGCGUUUUCCCCCUACCGGAAAUCUGAUGGGCUUAUGACAUCAUGGCUGGCUGCUGAGCGAUGAAGUGGAUGCCACAAAGAAAUCCGACAUAUCAGAUAGAUUCUGAAAUCGGUUUCCCUCCAGCUGUAGUAACAGGCGUGAAGUCAGGAGAAUUUGAGCUUUGUUUAAAAAAUAAAUAAAUAAAUAAAUAAACCAUAACAAAGUCUUG
rnacentral:lncRNA from 1 species